rnacentral:rRNA from 1 species
CUACGGGUGGCUCCAGUGGGGAAUAUUGCACAAUGGGCGCAAGCCUGAUGCAGCCAUGCCGCGUGUAUGAAGAAGGCCUUCGGGUUGUAAAGUACUUUCAGCGGGGAGGAAGGGAGUAAAGUUAAUACCUUUGCUCAUUGACGUUACCCGUAGAAGAAGCACCGGCUAACUCCGUGCCAGCAGCCGCGGUAAUACGGAGGGUGCAAGCGUUAAUCGGAAUUACUGGGCGUAAAGCGCACGCAGGCGGUUUGUUAAGUCAGAUGUGAAAUCCCCGGGCUCAACCUGGGAACUGCAUCUGAUACUGGCAAGCUUGGGCCUCGUAGAGGGGGGUAGAAUUCCAGGUGUAGCGGUGAAAUGCGUAGAGAUCUGGAGGAAUACCGGUGGCGAAGGCGGCCCCCUGGACGAAGACUGACGCUCAGGUGCGAAAGCGUGGGGAGCAAACAGGAUUAGAUACCCCGGUAGUC